GACGAACGCUGGCGGCGUGCUUAACACAUGCAAGUCGUACGGUAAGGCCCUUUCGGGGGUACACGAGUGGCGAACGGGUGAGUAACACGUGAGUAACCUGCCCACAACUUUGGGAUAACGCUAGGAAACUGGUGCUAAUACUGGAUAUGUGCCCCUGCUGCAUGGUGGGGGUUGGAAAGCUCCGGCGGUUGUGGAUGGACUCGCGGCCUAUCAGCUUGUUGGUGGGGUAGUGGCCUACCAAGGCGGCGACGGGUAGCCGGCCUGAGAGGGUGACCGGCCACAUUGGGACUGAGAUACGGCCCAGACACCUACGGGAGGCAGCAGUGGGGAAUAUUGCACAAUGGGCGCAAGCCUGAUGCAGCAGCGCCGCGUGCGGGAUGACGGCCUUCGGGUUGUAAACCGCUUUCAGCAGGGACGAAGCUUUUUGUGACGGUACCUGCAGAAGAAGCACCGGCUAACUACGUG
rnacentral:rRNA from 1 species